UAGGGAAUCUUCCACAAUGGACGAAAGUCUGAUGGAACAACGCCGCGUGAGUGAUGAAGGGUUUCGGCUCGUAAAACUCUGUUGUUGGAGAAGAGCGGGUGUCAGAGUAACUGUUGACAUCGUGACGGUAUCCAACCAGAAAGCCACGGCUAACUACGUGCCAGCAGCCGCGGUAAUACGUAGGUGGCAAGCGUUGUCCGGAUUUAUUGGGCGUAAAGCGAGCGCAGGCGGUUUUUUAGGUCUGAUGUGAAAGCUUCGGCUUAACCGGAGAAGUGCAUCGGAAACCGGGAGACUUGAGUGCAGAAGAGGACAGUGGAACUCCAUGUGUAGCGGUGAAAUGCGUAGAUAUAUGGAAGAACACCAGUGGCGAAGGCGGCUGUCUGGUCUGCAACUGACGCUGAGGCUCGAAAGCAUGGGUAGCGAACAGGAUUAGAUACCCUGGUAGUCCAUGCCG
rnacentral:rRNA from 1 species